rnacentral:rRNA from 1 species
AGAGUUUGAUUCUGGCUCAGGAUGAACGCUGGCGGCGUGCUUAACACAUGCAAGUCGAACGGGAAUUAUUUUAUUGAAACUUCGGUCGAUUUAAUUUAAUUCUAGUGGCGGACGGGUGAGUAACGCGUGGGUAACCUGCCUUAUACAGGGGGAUAACAGUCAGAAAUGGCUGCUAAUACCGCAUAAGCGCACAGAGCUGCAUGGCUCAGUGUGAAAAACUCCGGUGGUAUAAGAUGGACCCGCGUUGGAUUAGCUAGUUGGUGGGGUAACGGCCCACCAAGGCGACGAUCCAUAGCCGGCCUGAGAGGGUGAACGGCCACAUUGGGACUGAGACACGGCCCAG